GCUCAGUCAGUUGAGUGUCCGACUCUUGAUUUCAGUUCAAGUCAUGAUCUCACGGUUCAUGGGUUCAAGCCCCAUAUCGAGCU
rnacentral:tRNA from 1 species